rnacentral:tRNA from 1 species
GGGGUUGUGGCUCAGUGGUAGAGUGCUUGCCUAGCAUGCAUGAGAUGCUGGGUUUGAUCCUCAGCACUACA